rnacentral:lncRNA from 1 species
ACAGUUUCUGAGAAUGAGCGAGCUUCGUUUGUAAUGCAGAUGUCCUUAGGGAGUAUGCAAAAUAAUCAUUUUAACAAAGGAAAUAGAUAUUUAAAAGGUACUGCUGACCACAGGAAAAGGGUCCACUGUGUAAAACAUAGGUUAUCUUUGGAUUCAAGGUUUGUCUUUGGUUUUACAAAGUAGCUUGUAUUUUCAGUAUUUUCUGCAUAAUUUGGCAAAAUGUAGAGCAGUUGUAAUGCAUCAAUAAAAUGGAUACAUUUUCUGAUUCGAAAAAAAGAGCAUUGUUAGAAUGGAAAAAUAUUCAUGAUAUUUCGGAACGUAUUUUAAUGAUGUAUGCAUAAGCCACAUGAGAUCAUCUAAAUAGGAAGAGCAUGUUUCCUGGUGAGCCUUGAACAAUCCUGGUUUAUACUUUUUCCCUAGUGUAAUUCUUAAAGGCACUCUCAAAAUUGUCUUACUUUACGUGAUAAAUUUGGUGCCCAAUCUACAUAUAAAUUAAUUUAGUAUAUAAAUAAAAGAGUUAUUUUUAAAUGGUGGUGUUAUGACUCUUUUAGUCUUGUUGCAUUUUAUCCUUUCUCAACAGUGGAACUAUUACAUGCAAGUAUGAAAAGAAGAAUAUAUCUGUUUUGCCGUUUUAAAUGAUUCCUCUUGUUAAAUUGUUCAUUCUCUGGUGCAUUUUUCUGUUUCCCCUUUUUCUCUGUGAAGCAUAGCCUUGCUUGACCCUUAUCAGCCUCCUAAGUUGCUAAAAAUAUUUCGUGCAAUUUAACAGAAGUCAUGGGUUGACAAAAGGAAAACAGAGACACCCUAAAUUUAUAAGCAAUUUUGUUUUCCAGGUUUGUAGUUUUUAGACACCUUCUGUCUUAAUCAUAAAUUAAAUCACAAGAAUAGGUACCUGUGAUUUAACAUAAAUUUAACCUCUUCUGGGGGAUGAAAUGUUGAGUAGCAUGCAUCUCAUACAGAAAAAAACAAAUUCUCUUGGCUUCUUCUUAUUGCCGGAACUCGGCCUCCAUCUGCUGGUGCGGAAUUGAAACGCAGAGACAGAGUUUUGGGUAAAGGAGAAACAAAAUAGCUUUAUUGCUUUGCCAGGCAGAAGAGGGUCACAGCAGGUAAUGCCUUAAAAGUUGUGCUCACCCCCGCCUUAGAAAAACUCGCAAAGAGUUUACAGUAAAAAGGAGGAAACGGUUUUCAGUUAGGAAUCAGGCUUGGGGCAAACAUGCCUUCCUCUUUCUUUGGGGGAAGCUCCGUCAUCAAAGCUGGAGUCAGGAGACGAUCUCGAAGGCGUUGUUCUGGGUCGUUGCCUGGAAUCAGAGUACUUGCCCAGAGGGCCUGUUGAUCAGAGAUCAGAACCAACGGGGAAAGUUCCCGAAAAAACACCCUGUGCCAAUAAUCUUAAACCCACCGGCAGUUGUGCUCCCAGGGCCUAGUCUUUAGCUUCCAGGUGAGGGUGUUCAGGGGGCAUGAAGUCCGGGGAAGGACAAGGAAGGACCCUAAGCUGUUCAGGUUCAAAGUAUUUAUUUCGAAAAGAAGAGUAAGGAAGAUAACUUUCCUCUCAAGGGUGUGAGGCGCCUGCAUCAUUCUCAGAUUGCUUAUUUGAUUUGUUUACUCUUUUUUUUCAUUGAAAAGAGGAUUGAAGUGUAGCUGAUUUACAGUGUCCUGUCAGUUUCUGCUGCACAGCAAGUGAUUCGUUAUGCAUAUACGCAUAUCCGUCGUUUUUCAGAUUCUUCUUCUGUGUAAUCAAAGAAUAUGGAGUAGAGUUCCCGGUACUACACAGCAGGCCCCUGCGGACCCUCCGCUCCCAUACAGUGGUGUGUACCUGCCAGUCCCAAACUCCCAGUCCAUCCCUCUGCUGACCUUCCCUGUUGAGUGACCAUAGGCUUGUUUUUGAAGUCUGUUGAGUCGCCUUCUGAUGUGUAUCAUUUAUAUUAGAUUCCACAUAUAAGUGACGUGAUGUGAUAUUUAUCUUUCUCUGACGCACCUCGCUUAGUCUAAUAACUUCUGAGUCCAUCCAUGUUGCUGCGAGCUUGGUUUCUUAUAUUAGAAAAAUAAGAAUACUAUCUAAAUAAUGUAUACUUUCAUCUUUACAAAAGGUAGGAAACAGAGACCGAAAUAAACUAAAAAAAAAAA